UACGUAGGUGGCAAGCGUUGUUCGGAAUUACUGGGCGUAAAGGGUUUGUAGGUGGCCAACUAAGUCAGACGUGAAAUCCCUCAGCUUAACUGGGGAACUGCGUCUGAUACUGGUUGGCUUGAGUGCAGGAGAGGAACGCGGAAUUCCAGGUGUAGCGGUGAAAUGCGUAGAUAUCUGGAGGAACACCGGUGGCGAAGGCGGCGUUCUGGACUGCAACUGACACUGAGAAACGAAAGCCAGGGUAGCAAACGGG
rnacentral:rRNA from 1 species